AAUCGUUGACAACGGAUCUCUUGGUUCUCCCAUCGAUGAAGAACGCAACGAAAUGCGAUAAGUAAUGUGAAUUGCAGAAUGGACGUGAAUCAUCGAAUCUUUGAACGCACCUUGCGCUCGCUGGUAUUCCGGCGAGCAUGCCUGUUUGAGUAUCG
rfam:Ceraceosorus bombacis genome assembly, contig: Scaffold_207